GAAGACCUGUCCUUAGUACGAGAGGACCGGGAUGGACGUACCUCUGGUGUACCAGUUGUCCUGCCAAGGGCAUGGCUGGGUAGCUGUGUACGGAAUGGAUAAGCGCUGAAAGCAUCUAAGCGCGAAGUCAACUUCAAGAUAAGAUUUCCCACCGCAAGGGUAAGACCCCAGAAAGACUAUCUGGUUGAUAGGUCGAAGGUGUAAGUUCAGCAA
rnacentral:rRNA from 1 species